GGGCGGAUGGCGGAAUUGGUAUACGCGCAUGCCUUAGGAGCAUGUGGGGAAACCCUUAGAGGUUCAAGUCCUCUUCCGCCCA
rnacentral:tRNA from 1 species